rnacentral:rRNA from 1 species
CCUACGGGAGGCAGCAGUGGGGAAUAUUGCACAAUGGGGGAAACCCUGAUGCAGCGACGCCGCGUGAGUGAAGAAGUAUUUCGGUACGUAAAGCUCUAUCAGCAGGGAAGAAAAUGACGGUACCUGACUAAGAAGCCCCGGCUAACUACGUGCCAGCAGCCGCGGUAAUACGUAGGGGGCAAGCGUUAUCCGGAUUUACUGGUUGUAAAGGGAGCGUAGACGGCAGCGCAAGUCUGGAGUGAAAUCCCAUGGCUUAACCAUGGAACUGCUUUGGAAACUGUGCAGCUAGAGUGCAGGAGAGGUAAGCGGAAUUCCUAGUGUAGCGGUGAAAUGCGUAGAUAUUAGGAGGAACACCAGUGGCGAAGGCGGCUUACUGGACUGUAACUGACGUUGAGGCUCGAAAGCGUGGGGAGCAAACAGGAUUAGAUACCCGGGUAGUC